rnacentral:rRNA from 1 species
AUGACUACGCCCCCUGAGGUUGGUGGUUCACGAUCUAAAGGUACUGUCGACCCCAGUACUUUGUUGGAACAAUUGCAUCUGGAAGAAGAUGAACUGGAUAACCUUGUUUGGGAAGAAGAGGCAGAUGAUCCGGAUGAACAACCAAAGUGGCUCGCUUUGGCUAGGGUUCUGACGAACAAGUCCUUUGGGCAGGAUGCCCUGAUUGCAGAUAUGAAGGCCGCAUGGAAUCCUGCUCGGGAGGUAAUUUGGCGGAGGAUAAACCCAAAUUUGUUCUCGGUGCAAUUCAAUUGCCUAGGGGACUGGAACAAGGCGCUACAUCAAGGCCCUUGGGAUUUUAAGGGCAUGGCCCUUAUUAUAGCAGAGUAUGAUGGUUUCAAAAAUCCUGAAUCAGUUAAACUGGACAAGAUAGAGACAUGG